rnacentral:lncRNA from 1 species
AGAUCCGCCUCCAUCGCAGCCAGAAGCAAGAAGCUGUCUUCCCGCCCCCGCGUGCCUACAAUCAGCCCCAGUCUCCCUGGGAAACCGACGAGCGCACCUGAGCUGGGUUCUGAGCUCCAGCGUUUUGGGGCUAGAAGUUGCGGACUAGUAGCUGAGGCGGCACGGGAGUGUAGGCGCGCGGGGUCGUUGCCGGGGGCACAGAGUGAGAACAAGCAAGGGAGCCCUGCUGAAUUGCAGCUUAGGAAGCCCUGAAUCCUGGAGGCUGGAGUCCAAUGAUGCGAUCUCGGCUCACCGCAACCUCCGCCUUCAGGGUUCAAGCAAUUCUCCUGCCUCAGCCUCCCGAGUAGCUGGGAUUACAGCAGUGAAGGCAGUGAGGGGCUGUGGUGUGAUCCAGGAGGCUGAGAAUUAUGCAGUGGGUGCUGUCACCUUGAAGACAUCAGCGUGAUCAGGCAGAUCAUCAUGGUACUGCAUUUCCUGGACACGAUCUUAAUUUUCUUAAUACCUCCACCGACAUUUCAAAUAGCGUCUCUAAUGCCCCAGAGACUUUUAUGCCCCUAAGGUAGUUUUCUUUCUUUUGUGAAGCAGAAGAAGGGAAAUUGUUAAAGGGAAUAUUUUAACUAAAUUUAUU